UACGAAGGGGGCUAGCGUUGCUCGGAAUUACUGGGCGUAAAGGGCGCGUAGGCGGAUAUCUAAGUUGGGGGUGAAAUCCCGGGGCUCAACCUCGGAAUUGCCUUCAAAACUGGAUAUCUUGAGUUCGGGAGAGGUGAGUGGAACUCCGAGUGUAGAGGUGAAAUUCGUAGAUAUUCGGAAGAACACCAGUGGCGAAGGCGACACACUGGCCCAUUACUGACGCUGAGGCUCGAAAGCGUGGGGAGCAAACAGG
rnacentral:rRNA from 1 species